GGUUGAUCCUGCCAGUAGUCAUAUGCUUGUCUCAAAGAUUAAGCCAUGCAUGUCUAAGCACAUGCCUUAAUACGGUGAAGCCGCGAAUAGCUCAUUACAACAGCCAUCGUUUAUUAGAAUAUCGUUAUCCUACUUGGAUAACUGUGGCAAUUCUAGAGCUAAUACAUGCAAUAAAGCUCCGCCCGCAAGGAACGAGCGCAUUUAUUAGAAUAAAAACCAAUCGAGUUUCGGCUCGUAAUUUGGUGAAUCUGAAUAACUUUGCCAAUCGCACAGUCCUAGUACUGGCGAUGUAU
rnacentral:rRNA from 1 species